GCGUUUAGUGUAGUGGUUAUCACACCGUGAGCAAUUUUCACUUUAGACGUUACUGGCGCCUAUAUUAACGAUUCCUCAGGGAUUUUGAUAUCAAUUUCAUACCUUCCGGUAACCGCGGUUCGAAUCCGCGAUCGACCU